GGUGAAAUGGCCGAGUGGUCUAAGGCGCCAGAAUUAGGCAAUAGCUUAUCUGGUCUCUUCGGAGGCGGGAGUUCGAACCUCCCUUUCAUCA
rnacentral:tRNA from 1 species